rnacentral:lncRNA from 1 species
UCCAAAUGAGUACUUAUAAGUCCAUGAUUUCCUUACACAACUAUAAUCCAAAAUUUUAACUUGACAUAAAAGAGAGCCACAACAGGUAACAACAGACCAGCAAGUUAGCAACAGUCUUGAAGCCCAACAACUAGCAGUAGCCCAAGUGCCAACAACAUCAGCCCAACAACAGUCCCGAAGCAACAACAAAGCCACAAUUACUAAUGAGAGAUGAAGUUUGUCAAACAAAAUAACAAAGUUUUCAUUCAAAUUCGAAUUUCUUUUAACCUGUUAAAAGAACACAAGUCACAAAGGUGGGGGACAAUACAAGCACUAUGAAUUAAUUAAUUAAUUUUACAUUUUAAACAAUACAAACAACACUAUAAGAUUCUACAUUAAGGUCCUAUAAACAAGACAACUGCUACAACUACAAGUGUUCUGGAGUUAAAUUCCUGCUACAACUAAUGGUCAGAAAAUGGUUUCAAGAACAUAACAACUCUGGCAAAAGGGAAUCAGUAUGAUUGAAGGAAUACUCCAACAAAACAAAUGGACUAAGGAAGGUGUUCAAUUAUCAAAAUAGAUUGAAUCCCAACAUCCCACAACUGAUAUCUCAAAAAAAUAUCUCAGAACUAAGCAAAUGAAUUCAUGAACUAAGCAAGAAAUAAUAGAAAAGUUUGCUAAGCAAAACUAAGUUCUACAUAUUAGUGCCAAGCAAGAAAUAAUAUCAUUGAAGUUAGAAUUUGAAACUUAAUUGGUCAUUAAAACCCUAAACUUAAAUUUCAAAAGAAAAAGUUCAAAUCAGAAAUUUUUAAGACAUGAUUUCAGAAUAAAACCUUCAAAUUGGUGUAUUCAGGAGGGAGAGAGAAAGAGUGAAAACUAAAAUCAAACGAAUAGAAAGUAAAAUAACAUAAACCUAGCUGAAGAAUGCAUAUUAGAAGAUAGCCGGAGUCUGGAAUUAGAAAAAUUACCUAAGCAAAGCUAGCCGGAGCUCGGAGGGAGAGGCGGAGAGCCGGAGAGAAGAUAGCCGGAGGGAGAGGCGGAGAGCCGAGAGCCUGAGGCUGAGAGUGAGGGACUGAGAGGAUCGUAGUCGUAGAUGGAGUAGCGACUGCCGACUAGCGAGCAGAGUGACUGAGUGAGACAGGCAGAGAGCGAAGUAGCGAACGAAGAAAGUAGAAACCCUAGAUCUAUUUGGAAAGUGGAAAGUGACUAAGUCUGAAGACUGAAGAGUGAGUGAAGAGAAGUAGACUAGUAGAGAACUCAGAAGUCAGAACUGAUCUGUAAA